UGUUACGAAGGUGACCCGCAGUGGUCGAAUUUUUGGACCGGUGUUCCCGGAGAAUAAAGAAGAGUCGAUUGUUGGUAAGAAGGCGUAGGUGCCUAGUGUAGAUCCUGUUGGUUGUUUAAAGGAUAAGUCUGGUGAAUCCAGCAAUUUGAAAGCCAAUGGUGAUGAUGAUGAGGUACUCCGACUGAUCAAGAGGAGUGAAUUUAAUGUGGUUGAGCAGUUGCUCCAGACCCCCUCAAAGAUUUC
rnacentral:lncRNA from 1 species